UACGUAGGGUGCGAGCGUUGUCCGGAAUUAUUGGGCGUAAAGAGCUCGUAGGCGGUUUGUCGCGUCGGCCGUGAAAACUUGGGGCUUAACUCCAAGCUUGCGGUCGAUACGGGCAGACUUGAGUUCGGCAGGGGAGACUGGAAUUCCUGGUGUAGCGGUGAAAUGCGCAGAUAUCAGGAGGAACACCGGUGGCGAAGGCGAGUCGCUGGGCCGACACUGACGCUGAGGAGCGAAAGCGUGGGGAGCGAACAGG
rnacentral:rRNA from 1 species